CAGUCGCCACGGGAAUACGAAGGGGGCUAGCGUUGCUCGGAAUUACUGGGCGUAAAGGGAGCGUAGGCGGACAUUUAAGUCAGGGGUGAAAUCCCAGAGCUCAACUCUGGAACUGCCUUUGAUACUGGGUGUCUUGAGUGUGAUAGAGGUAUGUGGAACUCCGAGUGUAGAGGUGAAAUUCGUAGAUAUUCGGAAGAACACCAGUGGCGAAGGCGACAUACUGGAUCAUUACUGACGCUGAGGCUCGAAAGCGUGGGGAGCAAACAGGAUUAGAUACCCCAGUAGUCCCUGUCUCUUAUAA
rnacentral:rRNA from 1 species